AAGGCUUAUUAAUGUAGGGAUCAUGAAUAUUGAUAAGCGUCUUCUGACGCCCCGCCCACUUUUCUCUCUCUCUGUUGUCUUAAUGCGUUUUCUGUGAGCUGCCCUUUUGAAUUCAUGCCGAAAACACCUCAUUUUACAAGCUCCAGGAAUCGAGCCAGACAACCCACACAUACCAGGCUAACAAUAAUCAACUACUGGAAGCUCUGUAGCCUCCCGCACCUGAGAUUUACAUUUGUAUAACUGCACAUAGACGAGGUGCUGGGUAAGUUUUAUAGCUCCGUGCCAUAUCGGACAGUGACACUACAUGCAACUGUAUUCACAUUCAUGUUGAUAUAAUAAGUUUAUUGUCAAGUGAAUUCAAAACAUUGUGUUUAUUGUAAUCACAUGUAUUUACAAUUGUAAACACUAUCAUUUUCAUUUAGGUUUUUAAUUUGCUGGGAUUAAUUUGCUGGAACUAAUUCGCCAGGAUUAUCUUGCUGGGAUUAUUUACUGGAACUGGAAUAAAAGCUCAGUGAACAUCAA